GACGUAGGGCGCGAGCGUUUGUCCGGAUUUAUUGGGCGUAAAGAGCUCGUAGGCGGCUUGUCGCGUCGACUGUGAAAACUCGGGGCUCAACUCCGAGCUUGCAGUCGAUACGGGCAGGCUAGAGUUCGGUAGGGGAGACUGGAAUUCCUGGUGUAGCGGUGAAAUGCGCAGAUAUCAGGAGGAACACCGGUGGCGAAGGCGGGUCUCUGGGCCGAUAUUGACGCUGAGGAGCGAAAGCGUGGGGGAGCGAACAGG
rnacentral:rRNA from 1 species